CAUGCAAGUCGAACGCUGAAGCCCAGCUUGCUGGGUGGAUGAGUGGCGAACGGGUGAGUAACACGUGGGUAAUCUGCCCCGUACUCCGGGAUAAGCCCGGGAAACUGGGUCUAAUACCGGAUAGGACACGCUAUCGCAUGGUGGUGUGUGGAAAGCUCCGGCGGUACGGGAUGAGCCCGCGGCCUAUCAGCUUGUUGGUGGGGUGAUGGCCUACCAAGGCGACGACGGGUAGCCGGCCUGAGAGGGUGACCGGCCACACUGGGACUGAGACACGGCCCAGACUCCUACGGGAGGCAGCAGUGGGGAAUAUUGCACAAUGGGCGCAAGCCUGAUGCAGCGACGCCGCGUGGGGGAUGACGGCCUUCGGGUUGUAAACCCCUUUCGCCCGGGACGAAGCGUAAGUGACGGUACCGGGAGAAGAAGCACCGGCCAACUACGUGCCAGCAGCCGCGGUAAUACGUAGGGUGCAAGCGUUGUCCGGAAUUAUUGGGCGUAAAGAGCUCGUAGGCGGUGUGUCACGUCUGCCGUGAAAACCUGCGGCUUAACCGUGGGCGUGCGGUGGAUACGGGCAUCACUUGAGU
rnacentral:rRNA from 1 species